UUCUCGGUAGCUUAAAGGUAGAGCGUAUGGCUGUUAACCAUUAAUGUAUAGGUUCGAGUCCUGUUCGGGAAG
rnacentral:tRNA from 1 species